UACGUAGGGGGCAAGCGUUGUCCGGAUUUAUUGGGCGUAAAGAGCUCGUAGGUGGUUUGGUAAGUCGGAUGUGAAAUCUCCAGGCUCAACCUGGAGGGGUCAUUCGAUACUGCCAUGACUAGAGGUCGGUAGGGGAGUGUGGAAUUCCUGGUGGAGCGGUGAAAUGCGCAGAUAUCAGGAGGAACACCCGUAGCGAAGGCGGCACUCUGGGCCGAUUCUGACACUAAGGAGCGAAAGCGUGGGGAGCGAACAGG
rnacentral:rRNA from 1 species